rnacentral:rRNA from 1 species
UACAUAGGGAGCAAGCGUUGUUCGGAUUUACUGGGCGUAAAGGGCGCGUAGGCGGCGCGGUAAGUCACUUGUGAAAUCUCUGAGCUUAACUCAGAACGGCCAAGUGAUACUGCAGUGCUAGAGUGCAGAAGGGGCAAUCGGAAUUCUUGGUGUAGCGGUGAAAUGCGUAGAUAUCAAGAGGAACACCUGAGGUGAAGACGGGUUGCUGGGCUGACACUGACGCUGGAGGCGCGAAAGCCAGGGGAGCAAACGGG